UGGAAGAAACGCAUCGAAGUACUAAGAUACGAGAGAGGAGAGUCCGAUAUAGAUCACAUGACCAUCUCAGUAGGCAUGGACAAAGUCCAAAGACACAUGACUGAGAGGAUAUUGGACCUCACCCUGGAGAUCAUCUACCUGCUGACCGGAGAGGAUUAUGAAUUAGUGAAGAAA